UUCCUCAUGAAUUUUUGUGUUGUGG
rnacentral:piRNA from 1 species